rnacentral:rRNA from 1 species
UACGUAGGGGGCAAGCGUUGUCCGGAAUCAUUGGGCGUAAAGCGCGUGUAGGCGGCUCGAUAAGUCUGCUGUGAAAGUUCAGGGCUCAACCCUGAAAUGCCGGUGGAAACUGUCGAGCUAGAGUCCGGAAGAGGCGAGUGGAAUUCCUGGUGUAGCGGUGAAAUGCGCAGAUAGUCAGGAGGAACACCAAUGGCGAAGGCAGCUCGCUGGGACGGUACUGACGCUGAGACGCGAAAGCGUGGGGAGCAAACAGG